GCCUGGGUGGCUCAGUCGGUUGAGCGUCCGACUUCGGCUCAGGUCAUGAUUUCGCGGUUUGUGGGUUCGAGCCCCACGUCGGGCU
rnacentral:tRNA from 1 species